rnacentral:tRNA from 1 species
CAAAAUGUAGUUUAAACUAAAACCUUUCGCUUACACCGAAAAAAAAUCUAGUUAUAUAGAUCAUGGGGAG